UACAGAGGGUGCAAGCGUUAAUCGGAAUUACUGGGCGUAAAGCGUGCGUAGACGGUUGCGUAAGUCAGAUGUGAAAGCCCCGGGCUCAACCUGGGAAUUGCAUUUGAGACUGCGUAGCUAGGGUGCGGAAGAGGGAAGCGGAAUUUCCGGUGUAGCGGUGAAAUGCGUAGAUAUCGGAAGGAACACCAGUGGCGAAAGCGGCUUCCUGGUCCAGCACCGGACGUUCAGGCACGAAAGCGUGGGGAGCAAACAGG
rnacentral:rRNA from 1 species